GACGAACGCUGGCGGCGUGCUUAACACAUGCAAGUCGAACGGAAAGGCCUGCUUUCCCUUGUGGGUUGCGGGUACUCGAGUGGCGAACGGGUGAGUAACACGUGAGUGAUCUGCCCCCAACUUGGGUAUAAGCCUGGGAAACUGUGUCUAAUUCCCGAUAGGACUGCAGGGUGGUGCCGGUGGUGGAAAACGAUGUUCUAGUGGUUGGGGAUGAGCUCGCGGCCUAUCAGCUCGUUGGUGGGGUAAUGGCCUACCAAGGCGGCGACGGGUAGCCGGCCUGAGAGGGUGGACGGCCACAUUGGGACUGAGAUACGGCCCAGACGCCUACGGGAGGCAGCAGUGGGGAAUAUUGCACAAUGGGCGGAAGCCUGAUGCAGCGACGCCGCGUGGGGGAUGACGGCCUUCGGGUUGUAAACUCCUUUCGACCGCGAGGAAGCCACCUGGUUGGAAGGGUGGCGACGGUAGUGGUAGAAGAAGCACCGGCUAACUACGUG
rnacentral:rRNA from 1 species